rnacentral:rRNA from 1 species
UGCCAGCAGCCGCGGUAAUACGGAGAGGGCGAGCGUUAUUCGGAUUUAUUGGGCGUAAAGGGCGUGUAGGCGGCUUGGCAGGUCAAAGGUGAAAUCCCUCGGCUCAACCGAGGAACUGCCUUUGAAACCGCCUGGCUAGAGGCCGGGAGAGGGUAGUGGAAUUCCCAGUGUAGCGGUGAAAUGCGUAGAGAUCUGAAGGAACAUCAGUGGCGAAGGCGACCUCCUGGACUGAUAUUGACGCUGAGGUGCGAAAGCGUGGGGAGCAAACAGGAUUAGAUA